rnacentral:rRNA from 1 species
CUGCUGCCUUCCGUAGGAGUUUGGGCCGUGUCUCAGUCCCAAUGUGGCCGUUCACCCUCUCAGGCCGGCUACUGAUCGUUGCCUUGGUAGGCCAUUACCCCACCCAACUAGCUAAUCAGACGCGGAACCAUCGUAUACCACCAGAGUUUUUCACACCGCUUCAUGCGAAGCUGUGCGCUUAUGCGGUAUUAGCACCUAUUUCUAAGUGUUAUCCCCCAGUAUACGGCAGGUUUUCCACGCGUUACUCACCCGUCCGCCA